rnacentral:rRNA from 1 species
CAGCAGCCGCGGGAAAACGUAGGUGGCAAGCGUUGUCCGGAAUUAUUGGGCGUAAAGGGCUCGCAGGCGGUUUCUUAAGUCUGAUGUGAAAGCCCCCGGCUCAACCGGGGAGGGUCAUUGGAAACUGGGAAACUUGAGUGCAGAAGAGGAGAGUGGAAUUCCACGUGUAGCGGUGAAAUGCGUAGAGAUGUGGAGGAACACCAGUGGCGAAGGCGACUCUCUGGUCUGUAACUGACGCUGAGGAGCGAAAGCGUGGGGAGCGAACAGGAUUAGAUACCCCAGUAGUCCCUGUCUCUUAUAC